rnacentral:rRNA from 1 species
GAUGAACGCUGGCGGCGUGCUUAACACGUGCAAGUCGAACGGAAAGGCUCCUGCUUGCAGGGGUUCUCGAGUGGCGAACGGGUGAGUAACACGUGGGUGAUCUGCCCUGCACUUCGGGAUAAGCCUGGGAAACUGGGUCUAAUACCGGAGAGGACGAUGGUUUGGAUGCCAUUGUGGAAAGUUUUUUCGGUGUGGGAUGAGCUCGCGGCCUAUCAGCUUGUUGGUGGGGUAAUGGCCUACCAAGGCGUCGACGGGUAGCCGGCCUGGGAGGGUGUACGGCCACAAUAGGACUAAGGUACGGAGCAGACUGGUACGGGAGGCAGCAGUGGGGAGUAUUGCACAGUGGGCGCGAGCCUGAUGCGACGGCGCCGGGUGGGGGAUGACGGCCUUCGGGUUGUGAACACCUUUCGCUGGAGACGAAGCGCUAGUGACGGUACCUAGAGAAGAAGCACCGGCUAACUACGUG